rnacentral:lncRNA from 1 species
GCUGUUGCUUUAGCCAUCAAGAAAGGCAAGGCUGGGGACGCCGCAUCCCCGGGUGCGGAGGGCGAUGCCUAGGGGCGAUGCUGUGCCUGUGGCGGCCAAACAGUGCCACCCACUCCGGGAAACAAAGCCAAGCGCCGGACGCUAGCUUCCUAGGUCUUCCACGUGUUCAACGGAAAUUCACAAAUUCUCUAGUAGCAGAAGCCAAGAACAAGUUCUCUGGAUCACAUAGGCUCCUCUGCUGCUUCCUCAGAAACAGAGAUGGUACUUGGUGCCGAAGAAAGAGACAGAGACUGGGAAGGAGAAGGAAGUCAGCAGAAAGAAGAAAGACGCACAGGAAAGAGAGAAGGGUAGCUAAAAGAAAGAGUCAGGGAGAUGGUUCCAGGAGAAGAAAAGAAAGUCAGUUGCUUUCUGAGAUCAGGUGGGAAGUUUAUCCUGUCAACUCCACCUUUAGAGUGCUAGUCUCUGGAGCCACAAGGACUGAAACUCUGCUUCAGAGACCCACCACUGAUGACAACCAUCAGGCUCAGGAACUGAAAAGAAAUGGUGCAAAUGUGGCCGAGGGACUUGGGUUUUACAUUUAUUGCCGAGUCUGGUUUUCUUGAGUUUCAGAUGAUAAAAUUGAAGCCCAGAGAAGCUUGGGAGCCUCAACUAUUAAUGGAAAAACCAUAACUAGAACUGAGUUUUCCUGAGACAUUUUUUACUAUUCAUUCCCCUGCUCUUGGGCCACUCCAGGGCACUGAGCACACUUGCUUUGGCUAUUUGGAGAAGAGGCCAAUAGACACAACUGGCUUCAUCUUCAGGGACACCCAAUAUCUGGCAGCCCUCAGCCCCAGCGGAGUCUUUAUUGAAAGAACUGAUUCAUAGACCAGGCGCGGUGGCUCACGCCUAUAAUCCCAACACUUUGGGAAGCUGAGGUGGGCGGAUCUCAGUCAGGAGAUCGAGACCAUCCUGGCUAACACGGUGAAACCCCAUCUCUACUAAAAAUACAAAAAUAAAAAAAAAAAAUAGCUGGGUGUGGUGGCAGGCGCCUGUAGUCCCAGCACUUUGGGAGGCCGAGGUGGGCAGAUCACAAGGUCAGGAGUUCAAGACCAGCCUGACCAACAUGGUGAAACCCCAUCUCUACUAAAAAAAUACAAAAAUUAGCUGGGUGUGGUGGUGCGCACCUGUAAUCCCAGCCACUCAGAAGGCUGAGGCAGGAGAAUUGCUUGAACCUAGGAGGGGAAGGUUGCAGUGAGCCGAGAUUGCGCCACUGCACUCCAGCCUGGUUGACAGAGCAAGACUCUGUCUCAAGAAAAAAAAAAAGAAAAAGAAAAAAAAAGAAAGAAAGAACUGAUUUAUGAAAAGAUUCUUAUCAUGAUUUUCAUUUUACUAGUCCAAAGAUCACUGAGUUAAACUGCCUAUUUUAGUAGAUGAACAAAAGUGCCUUGAAUAAAGACGUAAUUCAAUAAAAACUAAAAAAAAAAAAAAA